GAAAGAAACAUUUAUUGUACUAAUAGUUACUGCCAAACAGACGAUUUGAAGCUCACUGAUCAAAUCAAACAUGGAAUUGUCAGAGGACACUGCAAUGGUAUCUUGCCCAGAUCCAUAUCGCCCACUUCAUCUGGAGCCCUUGACCUGG